GAUGAACGCUGGCGGCGUGCCUAAUACAUGCAAGUCGAGCGAACAGACGAGGAGCUUGCUCCUCUGACGUUAGCGGCGGACGGGUGAGUAACACGUGGAUAACCUACCUAUAAGACUGGGAUAACUUCGGGAAACCGGAGCUAAUACCGGAUAAUAUAUUGAACCGCAUGGUUCAAUAGUGAAAGACGGUUUUGCUGUCACUUAUAGAUGGAUCCGCGCCGCAUUAGCUAGUUGGUAAGGUAACGGCUUACCAAGGCAACGAUGCGUAGCCGACCUGAGAGGGUGGUCGGCCACACUGGAACUGAGACACGGUGCAGACACCUACGGGAGGCAGCAGUAGCGAGUCUUCCGCAGUGGGCGGAAUCAUGACGGAGUAACACCGCGUGAGAAAUAAAGGGAUUCGAAUCGUAAAACUCUGUUAUUAGCGAAGAACAAAUGUGUAAGUAACUAUGCACGUCGUGACGGGAGCUAACCAGAAAGCCACGCCCAUCUAGGUG
rnacentral:rRNA from 1 species